rnacentral:rRNA from 1 species
AGCAGCCGCGGUAAUUCCAGCUCCAAUAGCGUAUAUUAAAGUUGUUGCAGUUAAAAAGCUCGUAGUUGAAUUUCGGAAUCUGUCCAUCGGUCGGGCUUUAUUGUCCGUACUGGUGUGGUGGGUUCUUACCUUCUGAAUAACCAGCAUGCCAUUUAUUUGGUGCGUUGGGGAAGCAGGACUAUUACCUUGAAAAAAUUAGAGUGCUCAAAGCAGGCUAGUGCCUGAAUACAUUAGCAUGGAAUAAUAAAAUAGGACGGCAUGGUUCUAUUUUGUUGGUUUCUAGGAUCACCGUAAUGAUUAAUAGGGAUAGUUGGGGGCAUUAGUAUUCAAUUGUCAGAGGUGAAAUUCUUGGAUUUAUUGAAGACUAACUUCUGCGAAAGCAUUUGCCAAGGAUGUUUUCAUUAAUCAAGAACGAAAGUUAGGGGAUCGAAGACGAUCAGAUACCGUCGUAGUCUUAACCAUAAACUAUGCCGACUAGGGAUCGGACGAUGUUAAUUUUUUAAUGACUCGUUCGGCGCCUUACG